GCAGCCGCGGUAAUACGUAGGUGGCAAGCGUUAUCCGGAAUUAUUGGGCGUAAAGCGCGCGCAGGCGGUUUCUUAAGUCUGAUGUGAAAGCCCACGGCUCAACCGGGGAGGGUCAUUGGAAACUGGGAAACUUGAGUGCAGAAGAGAAAAGCGGAAUUCCACGUGUAGCGGUGAAAUGCGUAGAGAUGUGGAGGAACACCAGUGGCGAAGGCGGCUUUUUGGUCUGUAACUGA
rnacentral:rRNA from 1 species